AUUGUUUUUUGUUAAGUAAAUGUGUUGGAAUGGACACUAUAUUUUACAUGAUUUUCUAGUUGAACCAGAAAACUAGUAGGCUUACUAGGGUAGAAGUUCCUUGGCUGAUGUUUGUGGAUAGUUUGAUGCAAGACAUUUGUUGCAAGAUAUUAUAAAACAUUGUCCAUUGACAUCAGUCAAUAUUAUAAUAUAUUGGUAACUCAACUGCUUAAAAAGAUUUUCUCUCAUGUGGAAUAGUUUUCUUUCCUUGUCAUUCUA
rnacentral:misc_RNA from 1 species